rnacentral:tRNA from 1 species
GCCUGGGUGGCUCAGUCGGUUGAGCGUCCGACUUUGGCUCAGGUCAUGAUCUCACAGUCUGUGGGUUCAAGCCCCGCAUCAGGCU